GACGAACGCUGGCGGCGUGCCUAAUACAUGCAAGUCGAGCGCAGGAAGCCGUCUGAACCCUUCGGGGGGACGACGGUGGAAUGAGCGGCGGACGGGUGAGUAACACGUAAAGAACCUGCCCAUAGGUCUGGGAUAACCACGAGAAAUCGGGGCUAAUACCUGAUGUGUCAUCGGACCGCAUGGUCCGCUGAUGAAAGGCGCUUCGGCGUCGCCCAUGGAUGGCUUUGCGGUGCAUUAGCUAGUUGGUGGGGUAACGGCCCACCAAGGCGACGAUGCAUAGCCGACCUGAGAGGGUGAUCGGCCACACUGGGACUGAGACACGGCCCAGACUCCUACGGGAGGCAGCAGUAGGGAAUCUUCCACAAUGGACGAAAGUCUGAUGGAGCAACGCCGCGUGAACGAUGAAGGCUUUCGGGUCGUAAAGUUCUGUUGUAAGGGAAGAACAAGUGCCGCAGGCAAUGGCGGCACCUUGACGGUACCUUGCGAGAAAGCCACGGCUAACUACGUGCCAGCCGCCGCCGUAA
rnacentral:rRNA from 1 species